rnacentral:rRNA from 1 species
UACGGAGGGAGCUAGCGUUAUUCGGAAUUACUGGGCGUAAAGCGCACGUAGGCGGCUUUGUAAGUUAGAGGUGAAAGCCUGGAGCUCAACUCCAGAAUUGCCUUUAAGACUGCAUCGCUUGAAUCCAGGAGAGGUGAGUGGAAUUCCGAGUGUAGAGGUGAAAUUCGUAGAUAUUCGGAAGAACACCAGUGGCGAAGGCGGCUCACUGGACUGGUAUUGACGCUGAUGUGCGAAAGCGUGGGGAGUAAACAGG